rnacentral:misc_RNA from 1 species
AAGUCGUAACAAGGUUUCCGUAGGUGAACCUGCGGAAGGAUCAUUAGAAAUCACCGGCUUAGCCGGUAUAAAAUUCUAUCCACCCUUGUGUGCAAACAAUGGAAAAAGAGAGAAAAUUGGAUACUUUUCUGUAUUCAACUUCUCUAAAAUUCUUUAUAAACUCCAUCAAAUUUUGAAUGAAAACAAUUUUUUUUUAAUAAAAAAAUAUUAUACAACUUUCAACAACGGAUCUCUUGGCUCUC